rnacentral:rRNA from 1 species
AACGAACGCUGGCGGCAUGCCUAACACAUGCAAGUCGAACGAGACCUUCGGGUCUAGUGGCGCACGGGUGCGUAACGCGUGGGAACCUGCCCUUAGGUUCGGAAUAACUCCCCGAAAGGGGUGCUAAUACCGGAUAAUGUCUUCGGACCAAAGAUUUAUCGCCUUUGGAUGGGCCCGCGUUGGAUUAGCUAGUUGGUAGGGUAAAAGCCUACCAAGGCGACGAUCCAUAGCUGGUCUGAGAGGAUGAUCAGCCACACUGGGACUGAGACACGGCCCAGACUCCUACGGGAGGCAGCAGUGGGGAAUAUUGGACAAUGGGCGAAAGCCUGAUCCAGCAAUGCCGGGGGAGUGAUGAAGGCCUUAGGGUUGUAAAGCUCUUUUCCCCGGGAUGAUAAUGACAGGACCGGGAAAAAAAGCCCCGGCUAACUCCGG